CCUACGGGGGGCUGCAGUCGAGAAUCAUUCACAAUGGGGGAAACCCUGAUGGUGCGACGCCGCGUGGGGGAAUGAAGGUCUUCGGAUUGUAAACCCCUGUCAUGUGGGAGCAAAUUAAAAAGAUAGUACCACAAGAGGAAGAGACGGCUAACUCUGUGACAGCAGCUGCGGUAAUACAGAGGUCUCAAGCGUUGUUCGGAAUCACUGGGCGUAAAGCGUGCGUAGGCUGUUUCGUAAGUGGGGUGUGAAAGGCGGGGGCUCAACCCGCGGACGGCACAUGAUACUGCGAGACUAGAGUAAUGGAGGGGGAAGCGGAAGUCUUGGGGUAGCAGUGAAAUGCGUAGAUAUCGAGAGGAACACUCGUGGCGAAGGCGGGUUCCUGGACAUUAACUGACGCUGAGGCACGAAGGCCAGGGGAGCGAAAGGGAUUAGAUACCCUUGUAGUC
rnacentral:rRNA from 1 species